rnacentral:lncRNA from 1 species
CAAUCCGAUAGGAGUUGAAGAGCAUCGUAGGGGUUCGACAUCGAAGGAGAUCAUCUUGCCUUUAGAUCUAGAUCGCAAACUCAUAGAGAGAAUCUGAUUGCUCCAGUUCUAUUCAACCUUCAAGGAGAGGGCGUUAAGGUAUGAAUCUAGUUGUGGGUGGUAAGGAGUAGGUUAUUGUUGAUUGAGAAAAUAUAGACAGUAGAUUAGGAGACAGAGGAUAGGGAGAAGAGGCAGAGGAGGAGGCAGGAAGGAGAAGGAGAAGGAAGAAAUGGGUAGA